UGCGGGGUGGAGCAGCUGGUAGCUCGUUGGGCUCAUAACCCAAAGGUCGCAAGUUCGAAUCUUGCCCCCGCUACCA
rnacentral:tRNA from 1 species